rnacentral:rRNA from 1 species
AACGUAGGAGGGAAGCGUUAUCCGGAGUGACUGGGCGUAAAGAGCGUGUAGGCGGUUGAGGAAGUUGCGUGUGAAAGCGCCCGGCUAAACUGGGCGAGGACAGGCAAGACUGCUGAGCUAGAGGCCGAUAGAGGGGUGCGGAGUUCCGGGUGUAGCGGUGAAAUGUGUAGAGAUCCGGAGGAACACCAGUGGUGCAGACGGCGUCCUGGGUCGGACCUGACGCUGAGACGCGAAAGCGUUGGGAGCGAACGGG